GCCCUCGUAGCGUAAUGGCAGCGCGUUUGCCUAGUAUCUUCUGACGUGAGGAGGAGGCCAGCAAAAGGUUGGUCGUUCGAGUCGGCCCGAGGGCA